rnacentral:rRNA from 1 species
UUCCCGAAUUUAUAAGAGCUAAGUAUUUUAUUGUCAUAAAUAUUUAAAAUUUGAGUUGAAAUGUUAAUAUAUCUGGUUAUUUAAGAAAAUUUAAUUUAUUGAUUUUUUAGGGGAUAAGCUCUAUAUAGGAUUAGAAGUUUUGUUAUUACUGGCUUAUUAAAUUUUAUUUUAAAAUUUUUAUAGUAAUAAUGAUAAAAUUAGUAUAAAUUUAAUAUAAGGAAUUCGGCAAAUAUUUCUCACCUGUUUAUUAAAAACAUGUCCUUUUGAUUUUUAUUUAAGGUCUAGCCUGCCCACUGAGGCCGCGGUAAUCUGACCGUGCAAAGGUAGCAUAAUCAUUAGUUUUUUAAUUGAAAGCUGGAAUGAAAGGCUGGAUGAGGAAAUGACUGUCUCAUAUUUAUAAAAUUUUAUUUUUAAGUUAAAAAGCUUAAAUAUUUUUAAAAGACGAGAAGACCCUAUAGAGUUUUAUUUUGGCUGGGGCGGUUGAAAAAUUAAUUUAACUUUUGAUUAUAAGAUAAAAUUACCUUAGGGAUAACAGCGUAAUUUUUUCUAGAGUUCAAAUCGGAGAAAAAGUUUGCGACCUCGAUGUUGGAUUAAAAUUUAUUUUGGUGUAGAAGCU